rnacentral:tRNA from 1 species
GCCUUCGUGGUGUAGUGGUCAGCAUGCGUAACCGAGAGGUCCGUGGUUCGAUUCCUGGCGAGGGCA